rnacentral:lncRNA from 1 species
GUUGAGUAGAGGGCUCGAUUUUGGUGGAAUUUGGGUUCCAAAUCCGUCAUGUUCUACUUGGUGAUGUGGAGGGUGGGUUGGUCUAUCAUACUCACGAUUUUGAAAGGAAUUUGGUGGUGGUCUUGGUAGAUUGAUCACUUGGUGUAACAUUUCAGGGGAGAUUGUAGUGGAAGUGUUUUAAGGAGUUGAAGGUCGGGAACUUCUUUGAAUUUCUAC